CCAAUAGCGUAUAUUAAAGUUGUUGCAGUUAAAAAGCUCGUAGUUGAAUUUCGGGGUUCUACCGUUGGUCAGGCUAUUGUUUGUACUGGCGUGUAGAAUUUCUACCUUCUGGAGAACUAUUAUGUUAUUAAUUUAGCGUGAUAGGAAACCAGGACCUUUACCUUGAAAAAAUUAGAGUGUUCAAAGCAGGCUUAUGUCUGAAUACAUUAGCAUGGAAUAAUAAAAUAGGACGGUGGUCCUGUUUUGUUGGUUUCUGAAUCACCGUAAUGAUUAAUAGGGAUAGUUGGGGGCAUUAGUAUUCAAUUGUCAGAGGUGAAAUUCUUGGAUUUAUUGAAGACUAACUACUGCGAAAGCAUUUGCCAAGGAUGUUUUCAUUAAUCAAGAACGAAAGUUAGGGGAUCGAAGACGAUCAGAUACCGUCGUAGUCUUAACCAUAAACUAUGCCGACUAGGGAUCGGACGAUGUUAACUUUUCUUGACUCGUUCGGCGCCUUACG
rnacentral:rRNA from 1 species